CUCGGAACACCUAGAAUUACAAGUGACUAGGAGAGCUUAACUGAGCUCACAACCUCGUUCUCUUCUGUGAUCUAUAAAUAUAGAACUCUACUCACCAACUAUGUUCUCUUUUAUGUCGGCAUACCCCCAGCCCCUCAGGAUCUACGCUCAGAGGAAAAGAGAACUGGAGGCCAACUCAGCAGCCAGCCACUCAGACACUGUGAAGUACUCAGAUUCCUGGAUUUUCUUUUUACUGCAACAUUUUAUGGAACUGAAGGCUAAUCUAAAGCCAAUGUAA
rnacentral:lncRNA from 1 species